GCGAAAACUUUACAAUGCUGGCAACAGCGAUAAGGGAACCUCGAGUGCCAGGUUACAAAUCUGGCUGUCGAGAUGCCUAAAAAGCAUUGCAUAGCAAGGGCCGGGCAAGACCGGUGCCAGCCGCCGCGGUAACACCGGCGGCUCGAGUGGUAACCGUUAUUAUUGGGUCUAAAGGGUCUGUAGCCGGCCGGAUAAGUCUCUUGGGAAAUCCAGCAGCUUAACUGUUGGGCUUUCAGGAGAUACUGUCUGGCUCGAGGCCGGGAGAGGUGAGAGGUACUUCAGGGGUAGGGGUGAAAUCUUGUAAUCCUUGAAGGACCACCAGUGGCGAAGGCGUCUCACCAGAACGGACCUGACGGCAAGGGACGAAAGCUAGGGGCACGAACC
rnacentral:rRNA from 1 species